UACGGGGGGGGCAAGCGUUGUUCGGAAUUACUGGGCGUAAAGGGCUCGUAGGCGGCCAACUAAGUCAGACGUGAAAUCCCUCGGCUUAACCGGGGAACUGCGUCUGAUACUGGAUGGCUAGAGUUUGGGAGAGGGAUGCGGAAUUCCAGGUGUAGCGGUGAAAUGCGUAGAUAUCUGGAGGAACACCGGUGGCGAAGGCGGCUUCCUGGACCAACACUGACGCUGAGGAGCGAAAGCCAGGGGAGCAAACGGG
rnacentral:rRNA from 1 species